AGAAUCCUCUCACCGUUAAAGUUGAUUGGAGCUUUCAACUCACUUCUGUGAAAGGGAGGUCUGGCCUGCUGCUUCUGGAAAGUCUGGUGCAUCGCGUGGGCGUCUUGUCUCCCCAGCCAAGUGCCAUAGGCUACUACUCAGAAGAGAAACCUGUCACAGUGGAUAGCAAAGGACACCUGUAAAUGAGACAUUAUCCUCGGAGACUUUCUUGGCUGAAAAAGGAGAUGAUAGUGAUGCAAUAGAGUUCUCAGUUGCAAAAAAGCAGCAUCCCUGUCAGAAUAAUAACAGAGCAUGAAGCACAGAAGAGGCAAACACAGAUGGAAAUCAUCUCUGGACUCAGAACAACUCUUUGUCUGCUUUUCAAAUGGACAUUUGCAGGGGAGCAUUUGUAUUAACUGGGGGAGCAGUCCUUCUGACUGAAUGAUGUAUCAGCAAGCCAUGGCUGUCAUUCUUGAGGCACUCAGAACCAAGCCUGUAAAUUUGACAGAGAUAAUACAGAGGAUUUCUUCUCCCUUACAA